rnacentral:ncRNA from 1 species
UCGUAGCGGUGUGACGUGCAAAUCACUCGUCUGACUUGAGUGUAGGGGCGAAAGACUAAUCGAACCAUCUAGUUGCUGGUUCCUUCCGAAGUUCCCUCAGGAUAGCUGGCAUUUGUUUGUAACAAUUUUAUCCGGUAGAGCGAAUGAUUAGAGGUGUUGGGAACGCAAUGUUCUCAGCCUAUUCUCAAACUUCGAAUGGGUAAGCAAGGCGUUUUGCUUUGAUUUUACGAUGAAAUCGCCCAAUUAGAAUGUAUAAAUGCCUAGUGGGCCAAUUUUGGUAAGCAGAACUGGCGAUGUGGAAUGAACCAAAAGUCAGGUUAAGGUGCCAGACAUUGGCGCUCAUGAAAUACCAGAAAAGGUGUUGGUCGAUAUAGACAGCAGGACGGUGGCCAUGGAAGUUGGAAUCCGCCAAGGAGUGUGUAACAACUCACCUGCCGAAUCGACUAGCCCUGAAAAUGGAUAGCGUUUGAGCUCCAGGCCCAUACCUGACCGUCUCAAUUACGCACUUUUUUUUCGGAAAAGGUGUAAUGAACGUUGAGACGGGUAGGAAGGUCGCGACAGUGUUGCUUUGAAGAGUUUUGAGCGUGAGCUCGCUCGGAGCCGCUGUUGGUGCAGAUCUUGGUGGUAGUAGCAAAUAUUCAAGUGAGAACCUUGAAGGCUGAAGUGGAGCAAGGUUCCAUGUGAACAGCAGUUGGACAUGGGUCAGUCGAUCCUAAGAAAACGGCGAAAGCUUGUUCGAAUUUGCGACAUGAAUUGUAAGACUGAAUAAUUAUUUGUGUGUGUGUUGUGG